GUAAAUUUCAGGCAACCAGAGAUACAGAUGAUACGGGAUCUGCUACGUUUAACUGAAACGCUGCAACACUUCCCACCACUAUGCGAUGUGUUAAACAGAACAACGGAAUUGAUCCGCGCAUAAGUCGAUUUAUGCUACCGCUGGGCGCCACCAUCAAUAGGGACGGCUCUGCUCUCAGCAGACCAGUUUUACUGAUAUUUUUGGCCCAGUUAAACGACAUAGAUCUAAGUCCGGGAAAAAUUGUCACAAUAUGGUGGUGAAUCUACCUCUUCAUGACCUGGGACUCAUUAAUUCUUGCGGUUGAGUGGUUGCUGGACCGUUUCAUCACAGUUGUCAACGUCAUGGGGGAUGCCAUGGGAACGGGUAUUAUCCAACAUCUAUCUCGUGGCGAGUUGGACGAAAUGGACGAAAAAAACAACAAUCCAACUGGAAAUGUUUUGAAGGAGAAGUUUAUCAAAGUUGACGGCCCUGAUUCCGCUCAUGUGGCGACAGCUAGCCAUGGUUUGAAUGACACAUUUCAUACAAAUGCUUUCAACGGCAUUAGGGAGCUUUAGCAACGAGAGCGGCAACGGCAACGAGAACGGCAGAAAACAAUAGGCUUAAUG